rnacentral:rRNA from 1 species
AACGAACGCUGGCGGCAUGCCUAACACAUGCAAGUCGAACGAGACCUUCGGGUCUAGUGGCGCACGGGUGCGUAACGCGUGGGAACCUGCCUUUAGGUUCGGAAUAACUCAGAGAAAUUUGAGCUAAUACCGGAUAAUGUCUUCGGACCAAGGAUUUAUCGCCUUUAGAUGGGCCCGCGUUGGAUUAGCUAGUUGGUGGGGUAAAGGCCUACCAAGGCGACGAUCCAUAGCUGGUCUGAGAGGAUGAUCAGCCACACUGGGACUGAGACACGGCCCAGACUCCUACGGGAGGCAGCAGUGGGGAAUAUUGGACAAUGGGCGAAAGCCUGUUCCAGCAAUGCCGCGUGAGUGAUGAAGGCCUUAGGGUUGUAAAGCUCUUUUACCCGAGAUGAUAAUGACAGUAUCGGGAGAAUAAGCUCCGGCUAACUCCGUGCCAGCCGCCGCCGUAA